rnacentral:rRNA from 1 species
GUGGGGAAUUUUGGACAAUGGGCGCAAGCCUGAUCCAGCAAUGCCGCGUGCAGGAAGAAGGCCUUCGGGUUGUAAACUGCUUUUGUACGGAACGAAACGGUCCUGGUUAAUACCCGGGGCUAAUGACGGUACCGUAAGAAUAAGCACCGGCUAACUACGUGCCAGCAGCCGCGGUAAUACGUAGGGUGCAAGCGUUAAUCGGAAUUACUGGGCGUAAAGCGUGCGCAGGCGGUGCUGUAAGACAGGCGUGAAAUCCCCGGGCUUAACCUGGGAAUUGCGCUGGUGACUGCAGUGCUGGAGUGCGGCAGAGGGGGAUGGAAUUCCGCGUGUAGCAGUGAAAUGCGUAGAUAUGCGGAGGAACACCGAUGGCGAAGGCAAUCCCCUGGGCCUGCACUGACGCUCAUGCACGAAAGCGUGGGGAGCAAACAGGAUUAGAAACCCCUGUAGUCC